rnacentral:rRNA from 1 species
UUGACCUCAAAUCAGGUAGGACUACCCGCUGAACUUAAGCAUAUCAAUAAGCGGAGGAAAGGAAACUAACAAGGAUUCCCCUAGUAACUGCGAGUGAAGAGGGAAAAGCUCAAAUUUAAAAUCUGGCAGCUUCGCUGUCCGAGUUGUAAUUUAG